rnacentral:siRNA from 1 species
UGAAUGUUUCACGAGUGCAGA